UCUUGUGAGAAUUGAAUUCCCUUUAGGUGU
rnacentral:piRNA from 1 species